rnacentral:rRNA from 1 species
UACGGAGGGGGCUAGCGUUGUUCGGAAUUACUGGGCGUAAAGCGCACGUAGGCGGCUUUGUAAGUUAGAGGUGAAAGCCCGGAGCUCAACUCCGGAAAUGCCAUUGAAACUGUGAAACUUGAGGAUGAGAGAGGUGAGUGGAAUUCCCAGUGUAGAGGUGAAAUUCGUAGAUAUUGGGAAGAACACCGGUGGCGAAGGCGGCUCACUGGCUCAUUUCUGACGCUCAGGCGCGACAGCGUGGGGAUCAAACAGG